AUUGAACGCUGGCGGCAUGCCUUACACAUGCAAGUCGAACGGUAACAGGCCGCAAGGUGCUGACGAGUGGCGAACGGGUGAGUAAUGCAUCGGAACGUGCCCAGUCGUGGGGGAUAACUGCUCGAAAGAGCAGCUAAUACCGCAUACGACCUGAGGGUGAAAGCGGGGGACCGUAAGGCCUCGCGCGAUUGGAGCGGCCGAUGUCAGAUUAGCUAGUUGGUGGGGUAAAGGCCUACCAAGGCAACGAUCUGUAGUUGGUCUGAGAGGACGACCAGCCACAGUGGGACUGAGACACGGCCCAGACUCCUACGGGAGGCAGCAGUGGGGAAUUUUGGACAAUGGGCGCAAGCCUGAUCCAGCAAUGCCGCGUGCAGGAAGAAGGCCUUCGGGUUGUAAACUGCUUUUGUCAGGGAAGAAAUCUUCUGGGCUAAUACCCCGGGAGGAUGACGGUACCUGAAGAAUAAGCACCGGCUAACUACGUGCCAGCCGCCGCUGUAAAAC
rnacentral:rRNA from 1 species